ensembl:lncRNA
GGGCAACUUAGAAUAGGGCUGUCUGAAACAACACUGAGAAAAGUCCCUGAAAUUGAUGGUCAAGAUCGUGACAUAAGUACCAGAAGGAUUAAAUCCAAGCUGCUGGUGCUCAUUGCUGUUUCUGAUGUUGCAAGUUCUCUUCUUGACCACAGCUAAACAGAGAAGGAAAAAAAAGAAAGACACCAAAGGACCUGGACCAGUCCGAAUGGAAGCAUUAGCUGGACCACUGGAGUUGCCUGUCUGUGCCAGUUGGGCUUUGGAUGACAAGCCCAGGGUUCAGAGCCUGCACCUAACUGUUCCCAGCAUUUGUACCGAAGACUGGAGUGCUUCUGUAAUUGUGCCUAUGAGCAGGAGGUGGUGCCUACAGGAUGCUGAUCUGUGUGGUCUUUGCCCCUUGCCGUUCUGGUCUCACCCAUUACUACCACAGUGAGUCUGGUGGACCAGCCUUCUGAAGGCAAAAUAAACGUAUAAGCAGUUUGCCAGAUUGCCUGUUCACUUCAGUUUGGGUUUUUGAUUCCUUCUGGAGACAGUGUGUAUGGAUCGUGUUAGGCUUCAGGUAGAAAUAAUGGAGAAGAAUGGAGCAGGCUGAGGAGCAUGCCUGUAGUGAGUGGUGAGAUCACACUGACCUGUGUGCUCUGUGCACACAGCUCCAGGAAUAUCUUAAGAGUGCCUCAUAUAGUGGAUGUGAGGUAGUCAGUUACUGUAGAAAGCUCUGUGACUGUCCUGUGGUAUUCACCUCAGUCAUACCCAGAUAGUGAAUGAGCCAACAGCACUGUGCUGCAGCAUGAUAAAUCAGGUUUGUUUUGCUUAUUUUCACUGAUGCUCGAGCAAAACCAAAGGAUGUGGGAAUAAGUCAAAGAGCCACUGCUAGAUUUUUCCACAAGUGCAUCUCUGAGCAUGAGAGCAUGACCCAGGCAAGCCAGCCUACUGCAGGGUGCUGUGAAAGUUAGAUCUGCAUCCUGUUCACAAC